GACGAACGCUGGCGGCGUGCCUAAUACAUGCAAGUCGAACGCAGUGGGGACGGGUGAGUAAAACGUGGGUAACCUCCCAUCAGAGGGGAUAACACUUGGAAACAGGUGCUAAACCGCUACUGGUGGAUGGACCCGCGGGGCUUUAGCUAGUUGGUGAGGUAACGGCGCACCAAGGCCACGAUGCAUAGCGGACCUGAGAGGGUGAUCAGCCACACUGGGACGGAGACACGGCCCAGACUCCUACGGGAGGCAGCAGUGGGGAAUCUUCGACAAUGGGCGAAAGUUUGAUCGAGCAACGCCGCGUGAGUGAAGAAGGUUUUCGGAUCGUAAAACUCUGUUGUUAGAGAAGCGGUAUCUAACCAGAAAGCCACGGCUAACUACGUGCCAGCAGCCGCGGUAAUAC
rnacentral:rRNA from 1 species